GACGAACGCUGGCGGCGUGCUUAACACAUGCAAGUCGAACGGAAAGGCCCUGCUCUUGUUGGGUGCUCGAUUGGCGAACGGGUGAGUAACACGUGAGUAACCUGCCCUUGACUUUGGGAUAACUUCAGGAAACUGGGGCUAAUAUCGCAUAGGAGCUCCUGCUGCAUGGUGGUGGUUGGAAAGUUUCGGCGGUGGGGGAUAGACUCGCUGCUUAUCAGCUUGUUUGUGGGGUAGUGGCUUACCAAGGCUUUGACGGGUAGCCGGCAUGGGAGGGUGAACGGCCACAUUGGGACUGAGAGACGGACCAGAAUCGUACGGGCGGCAGCAGUCGGGAAUAUUGCACAAUGGGCGGAAGUCUGAUGCAGCAACCCCGCGUGCGGGAUGACGGCCUUCGGGUUGUAAACCGCUGUCGCCUGUGACGAAGCGUGAGUGACGGUAAUGGGUAAAGAAGCACCGGCUAACUACGUG
rnacentral:rRNA from 1 species